GAUGAACGCUAGCUACAGGCUUAGCACAUGCAAGUCGAGGGGAAACGACAUCGAAAGCUUGCUUUUGAUGGGCGUCGACCGGCGCACGGGUGAGUAACGCGUAUCCAACCUGCCCAUCACUUGGGAAUAACCUUGCGAAAGUAAGACUAAUACCCAAUGAUAUCCCACGAAGGCAUCGGAAUGGGAUUAAAGAUUUAUCGGUGAUGGAUGGGGAUGCGUCUGAUUAGCUUGUUGGCGGGGUAACGGCCCACCAAGGCAACGAUCAGUAGGGGUUCUGAGAGGAAGGUCCCCCACAUUGGAACUGAGACACGGUCCAAACUCCUACGGGAGGCAGCAGUGAGGAAUAUUGGUCAAUGGGCGAGAGCCUGAACCAGCCAAGUAGCGUGCAGGAAGACGGCCCUAUGGGUUGUAAACUGCUUUUAUAAGGGAAUAAAGUGGGUCACGUGUGACUUUUUGCAUGUACCUUAUGAAUAAGGACCGGCUAAUUCCGUG
rnacentral:rRNA from 1 species